CCUACGGGAGGCAGCAGUGGGGAAUUUUGGACAAUGGGCGAAAGCCUGAUCCAGCAAUGCCGCGUGAGUGAAGAAGGCCUUCGGGUUGUAAAGCUCUUUUGUCAGGGAAGAAACGGUGAGAGCUAAUAUCUCUUGCUAAUGACGGUACCUGAAGAAUAAGCACCGGCUAACUACGUGCCAGCAGCCGCGGUAAUACGUAGGGUGCAAGCGUUAAUCGGAAUUACUGGGCGUAAAGCGUGCGCAGGCGGUUUUGUAAGUCUGAUGUGAAAUCCCCGGGCUCAACCUGGGAAUUGCAUUGGAGACUGCAAGGCUAGAAUCUGGCAGAGGGGGGUAGAAUUCCACGUGUAGCAGUGAAAUGCGUAGAUAUGUGGAGGAACACCGAUGGCGAAGGCAGCCCCCUGGGUCAAGAUUGACGCUCAUGCACGAAAGCGUGGGGAGCAAACAGGAUUAGAUACCCUGGUAGUCCACGCCCUAAACGAUGUCUACUAGUUGUCGGGUCUUAAUUGACUUGGUAACGCAGCUAACGCGUGAAGUAGACCGCCUGGGGAUACGGUCGCAAGNUUAAAACUGAAAUGAAGUGAGG
rnacentral:rRNA from 1 species